UGGUCAAUGAUGACUAGCCCACUGCGCAAUCUGAAUUCCAAGGUGAACCUGAUGGAACUAGUGCUGUUGCAAAAGCUGAGACCA